rnacentral:tRNA from 1 species
GCCCGGAUGGUGAAUCGGUAGACACAAGGGAUUUAAAAUCCUCGGCGUUCGCGCUGUGUGCGCGGGUUCAAGUCCUGCCCGGGUACCA